GGUGGUUCAGUGGUAGAAUGCGGCCCGGGUUCGAUUCCCGGCAGAUGCU
rnacentral:tRNA from 1 species